GGGGACGGAGAAGGCUAUGUUGGCCGGGCGACGGUUGUCCCGGUUUAAGCGUGUAGGUGUGUGUUCCAGGUAAAUCCGGUUCACUUUAACACUGAGGCGUGAUGACGAGGCACUACGGUGCUGAAGCAACAAAUGCCCUGCUUCCAGGAAAAGCCUCUAAGCAUCAGGUAACAUCAAAUCGUACCCCAAACCGACACAGGUGGUCAGGUAGAGAAUACCAAGGCGCUUGAGAGAACUCGGGUGAAGGAACUAGGCAAAAUGGUGCCGUAACUUCGGGAGAAGGCACGCUGACAC
rnacentral:rRNA from 2 species